rnacentral:rRNA from 1 species
GUCUUCGUAGGUGAACCUGCGGAGGGAUCAUUU